CUCGCUGAGAAGGUCACAUAAAAGCUUUUCUCCAUUGAAUAUGUCAUAAGACAGUUAUUAAAGAGAGAUAUGAAUAAGUGAUAUAAUAAUUGUUUCUAUUAAAGGCACAAAGCCUGAAAUUUGGUGGGAGAGGAAUAGUCGAUUAUACCGACCCCACUACUCAACUAGUACUUAUUUUAUCGACCCCGAAAGGAUAAAAGGCAAAAGUUGACCUCAGUGAAAUUUGGUUAAGAUGCAAGUUUCUUAUCACACAGCCACUCCUGCGCCUAUAUAUGGAAGUCAAAACGUGCAGACGGACGAAAUGCUGCUAAGCAUUUAUCCCGGCGUGCUAACGAUUCUCCCAGCUCGCAGCUUUUGCAUCAGACUACAGCCAUGCUGGAGCACCGCUUUGAAGAAUUUUUAAAUCGACCCCAGUAUUUAUUUAUUUUUUUAUUCUUUUAAAACCCUGGUACUUAUUCACUCGGUCUUUUUUUUUUUGCUGAACCGCUAUGUUACGGGGACGUAAACACACCAACAUAUACUGAAACAGCUGUAAGACUUUAUCCAUAAAAUAUAUUUCUAACUU